UGGGGAAUAUUGCACAAUGGGGGAAACCCUGAUGCAGCGACGCCGCGUGAAGGAAGAAGUAUCUCGGUAUGUAAACUUCUAUCAGCAGGGAAGAUAGUGACGGUACCUGACUAAGAAGCCCCGGCUAACUACGUGCCAGCAGCCGCGUAACG
rnacentral:rRNA from 1 species